rnacentral:rRNA from 1 species
AACGAACGCUGGCGGCAGGCCUAACACAUGCAAGUCGAGCGAGACCUUCGGGUCUAGCGGCGGACGGGUGAGUAACGCGUGGGAACGUGCCCUUUUCUGCGGAAUAGCCUCGGGAAACUGAGAGUAAUACCGCAUACGCCCUUUUGGGGAAAGAUUUAUCGGAGAAGGAUCGGCCCGCGUUGGAUUAGGUAGUUGGUGGGGUAAUGGCCUACCAAGCCGACGAUCCCUAGCUGGUUUGAGAGGAUGAUCAGCCACACUGGGACUGAGACACGGCCCAGACUCCUACGGGAGGCAGCAGUGGGGAAUCUUAGACAAUGGGGGCAACCCUGAUCUAGCCAUGCCGCGUGGGUGAUGAAGGCCUUAGGGUUGUAAAGCUCUUUCAGCUGGGAAGAUAAUGACGGUACCAGCAGAAGAAGCCCCGGCUAACUACGUGCCAGCCGCCGCCGUAAUAC